CACGUAGGGCGCAAGCGUUUGUCCGGAAUUAUUGGGCGUAAAGAGCUCGUAGGCGGUCUGUUGCGUCUGCUGUGAAAACCCGGGGGCUUAACCCCUGGCUUGCAGUGGAUACGGACAGACUAGAGGUAGGUAGGGGAGAAUGGAAUUCCCGGUGUAGCGGUGAAAUGCGCAGAUAUCGGGAGGAACACCGGUGGCGAAGGCGGUUCUGCUGG
rnacentral:rRNA from 1 species